rnacentral:rRNA from 1 species
UACAGAGGGGGCAAGCGUUGUUCGGAUUCACUGGGCGUAAAGGGUGCGCAGGCGGUCGGGUGUGUCAGAUGUGAAAUCCCGAGGCUCAACCUCGGAACUGCGUCUGAAACUACUCGACUAGAGUACUGGAGAGGGUAACGGAAUUCACGGUGUAGCAGUGAAAUGCGUAGAUAUCGUGAGGAACACCAGAGGCGAAGGCGGUUACCUGGACAGUUACUGACGCUGAGGAGCGAAAGCGUGGGGAGCGAACAGG